AAGCCAGACAAUGAAUCUGCUUACCUGAAUGUGAUUCUGUAGAAAUUUAGAAACAGCUGGCAAUAGUAAAGCCCAUGUUUUGGGUCUUAAAUACAUUGAAGUCAUUGAGAUCCCUGAAAAUGGCUACAACA